rnacentral:hammerhead_ribozyme from 1 species
AUUCAGCUGACGAGUCCGACAUAGGACGAAACGCGCGUUCUGAAU